GCCAGAGUGAUAUAAUGGUUCGAGUAUUGGACUGCAACUCUGGAGAUCAGGGUUCAAAUCCCUGCUCAGCCA